rnacentral:rRNA from 1 species
GACGAACGCUGGCGGCGUGCUUAACACAUGCAAGUCGAACGGAAAGGCCCUGCUUUUGUGGGGUGCUCGAGUGGCGAACGGGUGAGUAACACGUGAGUAACCUGCCCUUGACUUUGGGAUAACUUCAGGAAACUGGGGCUAAUACCGGAUAGGAGCUCCUGCUGCAUGGUGGGGGUUGGAAAGUUUCGGCGGUUGGGGAUGGACUCGCGGCUUAUCAGCUUGUUGGUGGGGUAGUGGCUUACCAAGGCUUUGACGGGUAGCCGGCCUGAGAGGGUGACCGGCCACAUUGGGACUGAGAUACGGCCCAGACUCCUACGGGAGGCAGCAGUGGGGAAUAUUGCACAAUGGGCGGAAGCCUGAUGCAGCAACGCCGCGUGCGGGAUGACGGCCUUCGGGUUGUAAACCGCUGUCGACGGUGACGAAGCGUGAGUGACGGUAAUGGGUAAAGAAGCACCGGCUAACUACGUG